GUUUUAUAUUGAAAAAAAUAGUAACAAUUUUUGUUGAAACCAAUUUUGAUGUGUUUUGAAAGUUGAUGUUUAUUAUUAUCCUCUCUUGCUAAUGUCCAUGACUUUCUGGCAUGAUCUUGAUACUAUUUUAUUAAAUUAUUAGUCAAUAAUAUUAAGGUGGUACGAAACACUUUCACUAAAAUUAGUUUGGCCCGUUUAAUUUUCAUAAAAUUUUGUCAAAGUUUUGACCAACCGUUUUGUUAGAAAAAUUACACUGGUUAUAUAGCAGUGCAACAAACACCUAUUUUGAUCAUUGAGGAGCUUAAUAUUGCCUCCACAAUGCAAUGUAAUUAAAACGUUUAGCUGAUUUUACAGAGUUAUCUCCCUGUAGUGUUAGGUACCACCUUAAAUAUGAAAAAGACAACAAGACUGGGAUAACUUAGGACAUAGAGAUUCUGCUAUAAUCUCUGAAGCUAUUGGUGUUGUAGAUUUUCUGUCUUGCAAUCUUUCUGAAUGAAUUUUCUUACCCCUGAUACUUCUUAAAAAAGAUAAAAAGAAUGCCACAAAUAUCACAUGUAACAAAGUGGCAUUUAUAACAUCUAAUCAGUAUGAGUUGCUAAUAAAACUGCAUUUGCACCCUUCAAAUGCCAAUACACCUUAUCGCUAAUUCUGACUGACCCGGCCGCUUGAACUUUUGAUGUCAUACACAAUCACUUUUCUAUUGUGGCGUCAGAUAUGUUGUUUUAUGACGUCAAAAUUUUACGGGAACCUGUGUGAUAUCUAGUAAUGGCGGGAAAAUAGCAGUAAGGUGUAUUGACAGCAGCAAAUCUUUAAAUAUAGUACUAUUAUUCCUCAAAUUUCAGUCUGAAGCAUUGAUUAACAACAGGAUGAGAAGUGUAUCGCAUUAAACUGAACAUUAUUUUUCAAAACAAACCAUUUUAUUUGAAAUCUAUGAUUGAAGAAGCUUUCUGUGAAUCCUGAAAAUUGAUAUCAACAACAUCAGUUACUUUUCCUGUCUCUUGGGGUUGUUUGAUACAUACAUAUCAUCACACCUUCAGAGGUAUAUGUUUGAUCUAAUGUUUAAAUAUGAGGUAUAUAAGAUAAUUACAUGACACAUAUAUUUGUUUUAAACAUAUCAUUCAAAGGGGCAUACUUUAUAACGAUUUGUAAAUAGCAUUCCUAUUGUAAGAUUUUGACCAUGUAUAAAUCAUUUCCGGAAGUUGAAAUAUUCAUGUUUAUUAAUAAUUAUCAUUGAAUAUAAGUGCCAUUUUAAAUGUGUGUAUGAAUUCAUUUUUGAGCUAUAUUUUAGACUUUCCAUACAGGUUAAUUCUAACCCAGUUGACAUGGUUUAUUUUGGACAAUUUAAAAAAGAUAUAACGAUAUCUUUCCAUCCUAAAUAGAUCCUGAUCUGUAAGAUUUAAAAUUUCAAUUUUUAUGCCAAAUUUUUUUUACUCCAAAUAAAAGCACACAUGAAUAUCUGAAUUUACAGUUCUUGUUGCAUGUUUUUUUUGGGUCAGAUUUUUAAUACGAUAUAAGUUUGUAUACGAUAUAAGAAUUGUGAUUGAACAGGUUAUACACAAUGUGAAAGAUUAAUGAUCAUGUUUGUAAAAGCUUACCGGUAUAUAUUUUGUGAUUGUGUUGUGUAAUUUAAGCUGUAUAAAACACAUUUUUUUAAAGAAUUUUUAUACUGAUAAAGUGCUAUGCAAUUUGUACAUUAAGAUGAUCUAUGCAUUAGCUGUUGUUAAACAGAAUAACUGCUCAUAUUUUCAUGGUAAUAAAUU
rnacentral:lncRNA from 1 species